UUAUUGGAAGGUAACAUUCUACAAAUUUAGCAUGUGCAGGUGCAGGUGCAGUUAGUGGAAAACAUAAAAAUCAAUCUAGUUCAGCUUCAAAAUAUUGAUGUGAACCAUAUGAUUCAGAAAUUAGAACACAUGACAUGUUCUCUAAUCAGUUUAUGCCUUUAAAUCAUUUGUCAAGCAACAACCAUACCAAUUGUCAUGCGGAGAAAAAUCUGAUUCAUAAUGCUUAUCAUUCUGUAAUGUUGGCAGUCCAGGAACACAACAUGAAACAUUACAGGUGCAUUACUCAUGCAGAAAUCAAGGCUAUCCCUCGCCGUGUUGUAAGCUUCACCUAAAGUUUACAUUGGUGCACGUCGGCCUUAUACAACGCAGCAGCUCUCACAGACAAACGCAGCAGCUAUCAUUAGUACACAAGUACACACAAACGAAAUGAUAUUAACAACUUCAUGCACACCCAAUCUGCAGUUCCUUAGGUUGACUUAUCAAAUCAAAUUAAUAAGUAGGCACACCCACCAACAAACUACUAAAGAUCCAACCUUUGAUGUAGAAGUCGUGGUAACUCAUCUUCUAGUUGUUCUAGGGAGUUGGAUGAACACCAUGAGCCGUAGAAACCUUGCGAGAACCCACCCAUCUCUUUUCCGACCUUCGUCGGCGCCGCAACCGCGUGCCUGAUGCUCCUUCCGCUGCGUUCCUCUAUUCCGUUGACACUGCCAGAACCACAAGAAUUUGAAUCAGAAAUUGACAGAAAUUUUCUCCAAAAUAGAGCGCUAACAAACCAUUAAAAAUCCUAUGAAUUCCAUUCCUACAAAUCAAUCGACCCGCAGAGCGCUAAGCCACCUUAAUUAGUAGCAUCUUCGUGGGUGAAGACGAUGAGGAGCGGCGGGUGGCGGCCGUGUUGUCUGUUCGGCGGCCACGUACCUGGGGUAGCAGAGGAGGAGCAGCGGGGCGGCGGCCUGCUCUCGCAUCCGUUGGAGGAGGAGCGGCGGGGGUAGCGGCCUGCUCUUAAGUUCGUUAGAAAGGGAUCGGCGGGGGCGUCGGCCUGCGCUCGCGUCCGUGGGAAGAGGAUCAGCGGCCUACAUGGGGAAGCAGAGGAGCAGCGGCAGGGGCGGCGUCCUGCAAUUGCCUCCGUCGGAGGAGCGGCGAGGACGGCGGCCUGCUCUCGCGUACGGUAGAAGUGGAUCGGCCGGGGCGGCGACCUGCUCUCAGAUGCGCCGGAUGAGGGUUGGUUGUCUUCGUGUUUUCCGCGGCCCUCGCGCCCCUCAUCAGGAAGCCAG
rnacentral:lncRNA from 1 species